rnacentral:lncRNA from 1 species
AUGGAUCUGAGAACGCUGUCUGGGCUUGGUACCAAGAGCUGGUAUUUCACAGCAGCGACCGCCUCACAGACGAGCUGUGGGAAGCAGGAGGGAGACUCUCUCUUAGGGUGCCACUACUAUGGAGACACAGCUGGGCUGAACAAGAUUUGCUUCAAACGACAACAAGAGAGACAGAAAGUAUCUGGUUCAACCGCUGCCCGAGCAGGCAGGCACCAGAAGAGCUAGCAGCCAAUCCGGCCAUGCUCGAAGCCAGCUCUGCAGCUCAGCCAAUCAGUGACAUCAUUGCUUUCUUUAGCUUGCCCAUGGUGAUGUGAAGAUGAGAAGAAAUAGCAAGGCCCAACCAGUUCUUCAUCUGGAGACAGUUCAACGUUCUGCAAACCAGAUCUUCAGGAAUUUUACUGGGAUAAUUAUCCAAAUAAAUUGCAAGCAUUCUAUCCAAAUGGAGCUCUUUCUGAGAUGAAGAGAAUUCUCAAUGUCAAGAUUUGAACAAGAAGAGAAUGGAAUACACAAUAUGGACAUCCAUAAAAAUUCAUCAGAGAGCAUUUUACUACUGAGCUGCAAAGAUGACAAGAGCACCUCAAAGGCAGCAGCCUCAAGGAGCAGCCAUGGCCCCAGACUUGUCGCACGGAUGCAGAAAACUUAAUGGAGGAGGCUGAGGUCAGAAUGGGAAGAGUUUUUAAAAAAUAAAAAGGGGAGCUAA